rnacentral:rRNA from 1 species
UAGGGUGCAAGCGUUGUCCGGAAUUAUUGGGCGUAAAGAGCUCGUAGGUGGUUCGUCACGUCGGAUGUGAAACUCUGGGGCUUAACCCCAGACCUGCAUUCGAUACGGGCGAGCUUGAGUAUGGUAGGGGAGUCUGGAAUUCCUGGUGUAGCGGUGGAAUGCGCAGAUAUCAGGAGGAACACCAAUGGCGAAGGCAGGACUCUGGGCCAUUACUGACACUGAGGAGCGAAAGCGUGGGGAGCGAACAGGAUUAGAUACCCUGGUAGUCCGCGCCGUAAACGGUGGGCACUAGUUGUGGGAACCUUCCACGGUUUCUGCGACGCAGCUAACGCAUUAAGUGCCCCGCCUGGGGAGUACGAUCGCAAGAUUAAAACUCAAAGGAAUUGACGGGGCCCCGCACAAGCAGCGGAGCAUGCGGCUUAAUUCGACUGAACGCGAAGAACCUUACCAAGGCUUGACAUAUACAGGAAUAUGACAGAGAUGUCAUAGCGGUAAAACGUCUGUAUACAGGUGGUGCAUGGUUGUCGUCAGCUCGUGUCGUGAGAUGUUGGGUUAAGUCCCGCAACGAGCGCAACCCUCGUUCUGUGUUGCCAGCAUUUAGUUGGGGACUCA